rnacentral:rRNA from 1 species
AUGAGAGGCAUGUUUUGGAAUAGCAGAGGUCUCUCAGACUUGGCUAAACAUAAGCACGUCAGUGAUUGUGUGCGAGAACACGAAUUGGAUUUUGUGGCAAUUUCCGAGGCUGGUAAAUGUGACUUCCGCCCGCACGUCCUCGAUCACCUAUCUGGUGGUUUCGACUACACAUGGCAUAGUCUACCAGCUCGUGGAUGGUCCGGAGGAAUCCUUCUUGGGAUACAGACCACGACAAUGGACUUGUUGGCCUUUUUGACCAGUGAAUUUCAUAUCAAAUUUUACCUACGAAACAGGGCUGAUAAUUUUACAUGGAGCCUGGUCGCAGUCUAUGGGGCUGCCCAAGAUGAGCAUAAAUCCGCUUUCCUUCGUGAACUGGUGAAUCUGGCUAAGGAUAACCCGUACCCAAUGCUUAUUGGAGGGGAUUUCAAUAUCCUUAGGUACCAGGAGGAAAAAAAUAAUGACCGCUUCGACGCUCACUGGCCUUUCCUAUUCAAUGUUGUGAUUGAUAGUUUGGACCUUCGGGAGGCUUGUAUGUCAGGGCGGCAGUUCAGUUGGGCUAAUAACCGUUCUGUGCCAACGUACGAGAAGCUCGAUAGGGUACUCAUGGAUACCGAAUGGGAGCUAAAAUUUCCUAUGGUAACCGUACGAGCCCUAGAGAGAAUCGAGGCAUUAUCGGAUCAUGCACCAAUCAUUCUUGAUUCUAAUUCUAUGAGCCAUUCUUCCCGCCACCCUUUAAAAUUUGAAUUGGCAUGGCUGCACCGGGAAGGUUUUGUAGAAAUAAUCAAGAAAGUUUGGGAGAGGCCAGCCAUUGGUCGUACACCGAUUCAGAGAUGGAAUAAUAAAAUAAGGGCCAUGAGGCAACACCUCUCUGGAUGGGCGAAACACAUCAAUGGGCUAUAUAAAAAAGAAAAGCAGCGCCUUUGUACCAUCAUUGAUGACCUCGACAAAAUUGCAGAGACCCGCACCUUAUCUCAACAUGAGAUUGAAUUGAAAAAUCAAUCUAAUGAGAAGGUUGCCCGUCUUCUGCGAGAAGAGGAGAUCAAAUACUACCAGAGGUCCAAAGUUGACUUCAUCCUAAUGGGAGAUAGUAAUACAAGAUACUUCCAAUUGCUCGCCAAUGGUCGACAUAGGAAGAAAUGUAUUCAUAGUCUCCAACAGGACGAGGGGCGGAUCGAAGGUCAAAGGGAGCUCAAAAACUAUAUCACCAACUACUACAAAUCUCUGUUCGGAGCGUCGAAUGAAGGAAAUGUCACCCUUGACGAGACCCGAACAGAUGAUAUUCCACAAGUCACGGCAGAAGAGAAUGAUAUCCUCACGACACCUUUCUCAGAGGAGGAGGUGAGAGCGGCGGUGUUCCAAAUGGAACACAACAAAGAUCUAGGCCCUGAUGGUUUCCCCGCAGAAUUCUAUCAGAAUUUCUGGGAUAUCAUCAAGGCUGACCUUUUGGAGUUGUUCAAUUGUCUUCAUGCCAAUCGACUUGAUCUAUUCAGAAUAAAUUUUGGCGAGAUUGUCUUGUUGCCGAAGAUUAAGGAGGCUGAACGGAUUCAGCAGUUCAGACCCAUAUGUCUCCUUAAUGUUAGCUUCAAGAUUUUCACAAAAGUGGCUACGAAUAGGUUAAACUUGAUAGCUGACCGUGUUGUCCGUCCAUCUCAAACGACCUUUAUGCAAGGACGAAAUAUACUAGAUGGUGUAGUAAUCCUGCAUGAGACCGUCCACGGGAUGCACCGAAAAAAUAUGAGU